rnacentral:rRNA from 1 species
UACGAAGGGGGCUAGCGUUGCUCGGAAUGACUGGGCGUAAAGCGCACGUAGGCGGAUCUUUAAGUCAGAGGUGAAAUCCCAAGGCUCAACCUUGGAACUGCCUUUGAUACUGGGGAUCUCGAGUCCGGAAGAGGUUGGUGGAACUGCGAGUGUAGAGGUGAAAUUCGUAGAUAUUCGCAAGAACACCAGUGGCGAAGGCGGCCAACUGGUCCGGUACUGACGCUGAGGUGCGGAAAGCGUGGGGAGCAAACAGGGAU